UCCUUGGUAGCUCAGUUGGUAAAGAAUCUGCCUACAAUGCAGGAGACCUAGAUUCGAUUCCUGGGUCAGGAA
rnacentral:tRNA from 1 species